CCUACGGGAGUCAGCAGUGGGGAAUAUUGGGCAAUGGGCGCAAGCCUGACCCAGCAACGCCGCGUGAAGGAAGAAGGCUUUCGGGUUGUAAACUUCUUUUCUCAGGGACGAAGCAAGUGACGGUACCUGAGGAAUAAGCCACGGCUAACUACGUGCCAGCAGCCGCGGUAAUACGUGGGUGGAAACCGUUAUACGGAUUUACUGGGUGUAAAGGGCGUGUAGGCGGGAAAGCAAGUCAGAUGUGAAAACCAUGGGCUGAACCUGUGGCCUGCAUUUGAAACUGUUUUGCUUGAGUACUGGAGAGGCAGACGGAAUUCCUAGUGUAGCGGUGAAAUGCGUAGAUAUAUGGAAGAACACCAGGGGCGAAGGCGGCCGCCUGGCCUGUUGCUGACGCUGAGGCACGAAAGCGUGGGGAGCGAAUAGGAUUAGAUACCCCAGUAGUC
rnacentral:rRNA from 1 species